GUCGAACGAGAAAGUGGAGCAAUCCAUGAGUAAAGUGGCGACCGGGUGAGUAACACGUGACCAAUCUACCUUCGAGUGGGGGAUAACUCCGGGAAACCGGGGCUAAUACCGCAUAACAUCUUUGGAUCGGAAGAACUGGAGAUCAAAGGAGCAAUUCGCUUGAAGAGGAGGUCGCGGCUGAUUAGCUAGUUGGCGGGGUAAUGGCCCACCAAGGCGAAGAUCGGUAGCCGGCCUGAGAGGGCGCACGGCCACACUGGAACUGAAACACGGUCCAGACUCCUACGGGAGGCAGCAGUGGGGAAUUUUGCGCAAUGGGGGAAACCCUGACGCAGCAACGCCGCGUGGAGGAUGAAGUCCCUUGGGACGUAAACUCCUUUCGACCGGGACGAUUAUGACGGUACCGGUGGAAGAAGCCCCGGCUAACUUCGUGCCAGCAGCCGCGGUAAUACGAGGGGGGCGAGCGUUGUUCGGAAUUAUUGGGCGUAAAGGGCGCGUAGGCGGUGCGGUAAGUCACCUGUGAAAUCUCCCGGCUCAACUGGGAGCCUGCAGGCGAAACUGCCGUGCUGGAGUAUGGGAGAGGUGCGUGGAAUUCCCGGUGUAGCGGUGAAAUGCGUAGAUAUCGGGAGGAAC
rnacentral:rRNA from 1 species